UUCUUUUCAUUUUUAUGAUUAUAACUGAAAACUAAUGAAAACCCCAAAUUCAGUAUCUCAAAAAAUUAGAAUAUUGUGAAAAGGUUCAAUAUUGAAGACACCUGGUGCCGACUCUAAUCAGCUAAUUAACUCAAAACACCUGCAAAGGUCUUUAAAUGGUCUCUCGGUCUAGUUCUGUAGGCUCCACAAUCACAGGGAAGACUGCUGACUGGACAGUUGUCCAAAAGACGACCAUUGACACCUUGCACAAGAAGGGCAAGACACAAAAGGUCCUUGCUAAAGAGGCUGGCUAUUCACAUAGCUCUGUGUCCAAGCAUAUUAAUAGAGAGGUGAUGGGAAGGAACAGAUGUGGCAGAAAAAAGUGUACAAGCAAUAGGGAUAACCGCACUCUGGAGAGGACGCUGAAACAAAACCCAUUCAAAAAUGUGGGGGAGAUUCACAAAGAGUGGACUGCAGCUGGGCUCAAUCCUUCAAGAACCACCACGCACAGACGAUUGUAAGACAUGGGUUUCAGCUGUCGCAUUCCUUGUGUCAAACCAAUCUUGAACAAGUGAGAGUCAGAAGUGCCUAGGAUAAAGACAAAAAGGACUGUGCUGCUGCUGAGUGGUCCAAAGUGAUGUUCUUUGAUGAAAGUAAAUUUUGCAUUUCCUUUGGAAAUCAAGGUCCCAGAGUCUGGAGAAAGAGAGGAGAGGCAAAGAAUCUACAUUGCUUGAGGUCCAAUGUAAAGUUUCCACAGACUUGGCACCUGCACACAGUGUCAAAUCUACCAGUGCCUGGUUUGAGGACCAUGGCAUCCCUGUUCUUAAUUGGCCGAGAAAUUUGCCUGACGUUAACCCCGCAGAAAAUCUAUAGGGUAUUGAGAAGAGGAAGAUGCAAUACGCCAGGUCCAACAUUCAGAAGAGCUGAAGACCAUCAGAGUAACCUGGGCUCUCAUAACACCUGAGCAGUACCACAGACCGAUCGCUCCACGCCACACCGCAGUAAUCCAAGCAAAAGGAGCCCCAACUAAGUAUUGAGUGCUGUACUUGCUCAUACUUUUCAGUUGGCCAACAUUUGUAAAAAUCCUUUCUUUGUAUUAGUCUUGAGUAAUAAUCUAAUUUUCUGAGCUAUUGAAUUUGGGGUUUUCAAUAGUUGUCAGUUUUAAUCAUCAAAAUAAAAAACAUAUUUAAUUUGAAAUAUAUCAGUCUGUGU